UGUGUAGGCGGUUCUCUAAGUCUGGUGUGAAAUCUCCCGGCUCAACUGGGAGGGUGCGCCGAAAACUGGAGGGCUAGAGUGCGGGAUGGGAAAGUGGAAUUCCUGGUGUAGCGGUGAAAUGCGUAGAUAUCAGGAGGAACACCUGUGGUGUAGACGGCUUUCUGGACCGCAACUGACGCUGAGACACGAAAGCGUGGGUAGCAAACAGGAUUAGAUACCCUGGUAGUCCGCGCCCUAAACGAUGCAUAUUUGGUGUGGGUCAUUCAUUUGAUCCGUGCCGGAGCUAACGCGUUAAAUAUGCCGCCUGGGGAGUACGGUCGCAAGGCUGAA
rnacentral:rRNA from 1 species